AACGAACGCUGGCGGCAGGCUUAACACAUGCAAGUCGAACGCACCGCAAGGUGAGUGACAGACGGGUGAGUAACACGUGGGGAUCUGCCCAAUGGUACGGAAUAGCUCCGGGAAACUGGAAUUAAUACCGUAUGUGCCCUUCGGGGGAAAGAUUUAUCGCCAUUGGAUGAACCCGCGUCGGAUUAGCUAGUUGGUGAGGUAAAGGCUCACCAAGGCGACGAUCCGUAGCUGGUCUGAGAGGAUGAUCAGCCACACUGGGACUGAGACACGGCCCAGACGCCUACGGGAGGCAGCAGUGGGGAAUAUUGGACAAUGGGCGCAAGCCUGAUCCAGCCAUGCCGCGUGAGCGAUGAAGGCCUUAGGGUUGUAAAGCUCUUUCGCCGACGAAGAUAAUGACGGUAGUCGGAGAGGAAGCCCCGGCUAACUUCGUGCCAGCCGCCGCCGUAA
rnacentral:rRNA from 1 species